rnacentral:rRNA from 1 species
GCCUAAUCAACGCUGGCGGCGUGCCUAAUACAUGCAAGUCGAGCGGAUCUUCAUUAGCUUGCUUUUGAAGAUCAGCGGCGGACGGGUGAGUAACACGUGGGCAACCUGCCUGUAAGACUGGGAUAACUUCGGGAAACCGGAGCUAAUACCGGAUAAUCCUUUCCCUCACAUGAGGGAAAGCUGAAAGACGGUUUCGGCUGUCACUUACAGAUGGGCCCGCGGCGCAUUAGCUAGUUGGUGAGGUAACGGCUCACCAAGGCAACGAUGCGUAGCCGACCUGAGAGGGUGAUCGGCCACACUGGGACUGAGACACGGCCCAGACUCCUACGGGAGGCAGCAGUAGGGAAUCUUCCGCAAUGGACGAAAGUCUGACGGAGCAACGCCGCGUGAGCGAUGAAGGCCUUCGGGUCGUAAAGCUCUGUUGUCAGGGAAGAACAAGUACCGGAGUAACUGCCGGUACCUUGACGGUACCUGACCAGAAAGCCACGGCUAACUACGUGCCAGCAGCCGCGGUAAUACGUAGGUGGCAAGCGUUGUCCGGAAUUAUUGGGCGUAAAGCGCGCGCAGGCGGUUCCUUAAGUCUGAUGUGAAAGCCCCCGGCUCAACCGGGGAGGGUCAUUGGAAACUGGGGAACUUGAGU